rnacentral:rRNA from 1 species
GAACCUGCGGAAGGAUCAUUAUCGUACAACCGGAGGUGCCCAGGGCUGUCGCUGACCCUUCAAGGUCGUGCACGCCCUGGGCAAUCCUCUAAUACAAUCCCUCUCACCCUUUGUGCACCACCGCGUGGGGCCUCCCUUUCGGAUCCCUUGGAUCUGAAAGGGGGUGCGCACGCCUUUUAUAUACACACCCUAAUAUCAUGUGGUAUAGAAUGCCUUACACUUUUUGCAAUCGUAUGCAAUCAAUACAACUUUCAACAACGGAUCUCUUGGCUCUCGCAUCGAUGAAGAACGCAGCGAAAUGCGAUACGUAAUGUGAAUUGCAGAAUUCAGUGAAUCAUCGAAUCUUUGAACGCACCUUGCGCCCCUUGGCAUUCCGAGGGGCACACCCGUUUGAGUGUCGUGAAACCCUCAACCUUCUCCGUUUGUUGUCAAAAUCGGAGAAAGGCUUGGACUUUGGAGGCUUUUUUGCUGGCCCUUCAGCCAGCUCCUCUUAAACGAAUUAGCGGGGUCCCCUUUGCCAAUCCUCGACGUGAUAACUUGUUUCUACGUCUGGAAAAGGCAGAGGCCUGCUCCCAAUCGUCUCAUUUCGAGACUGUGCUAGAAAACACCUCUUGACCUCAAAUCGGGUGAGACUACCCGCUGAACUUAAGCAUAUCAAUAA